AUACGUAGGAUGCAAGCGUUAUCCGGAUUUACUGGGCGUAAAGAGCGCGUAGGUGGUUUCGUAAGUUGGGCGUGAAAGCCCCCGGCUUAACUGGGGAGGGUCGUUCAAAACUACGAGACUUGAGGGUGGAAGAGGAGAUUGGAAUUCCCGGUGUAGUGGUGAAAUGCGUAGAUAUCGGGAGGAACACCUGUGGUGAAGACGAAUCUCUGGGCCACUCCUGACACUAAGGCGCGAAGGCGUGGGGAGCGAACGGAAUUAGAUACUCCGGUAGUCCACGCCCUAAACGAUGGACACUAGGUGUGGUGGGUAUCGACCCCCGCCGUGCCGUAGUCAACACAAUAAGUGUCCCGCCUGGGGACUACGAGCGCAAGCUUAAA
rnacentral:rRNA from 1 species